CCUAGGGGAGGCAGCAGUGAGGAAUAUUGGUCAAUGGGCGGAAGCCUGAACCAGCCAAGUAGCGUGCAGGAUGACGGCCCUAUGGGUUGUAAACUGCCUUUAUACAGGAAUAAAGUUAGCCACGUGUGGUUAUUUGUAGGUACUGUAUGAAUAAGGACCGGCUAAUUCCGUGCCAGCAGCCGCGG
rnacentral:rRNA from 1 species